rnacentral:rRNA from 1 species
GAUGAACGCUGGCGGCGUGCCUAAUACAUGCAAGUCGAGCGGACGGAAGGGAGCUUGCUCCCGGAAGUCAGCGGCGGACGGGUGAGUAACACGUGGGUAAUCUGCCUGUUAGACCGGAAUAACGCCUGGAAACGGGUGCUAAUGCCGGAUAGGCAUCCUGGGGGCAUCCCCGGGAUGGGAAAGGCGCUGUGGCGUCGCUAACAGAGGAGCCCGCGGUGCAUUAGCUAGUUGGUGGGGUAACGGCCCACCAAGGCGACGAGGCGAAGCCGACCUGAGAGGGGGACCGGCCACAGUGGGACUGAGACACGGCCCAGACUCCUACGGGAGGCAGCAGGAGGGGAUCUUCGGCAAUGGGCGAAAGCCUGACUGAGCAACGCCGCGUGAGCGAAGAAGGCCUUCGGGUUGUAAAGCUCAGUCACUCGGGAAGAGCGGGCGAGGGAGGGAAUGCCCUCGCCGAGACGGUACCGAGAGAGGAAGCCCCGGCUAACUACGUGCCAGCCGCCGCCGUAA